AGCAGUGUGGCAUAGUGGUAUGGGUGUUGGACUAUGACUCUGAAAACCAAGGUUCGAAUCCUGGCUUGGCCA